rnacentral:rRNA from 1 species
GGAAUAUUGGACAAUGGGCGCAAGCCUGAUCCAGCCAUGCCGCGUGGGUGAAGAAGGCCUUCGGGUUGUAAAGCCCUUUUGUCCGGAAAGAAAAGUCCUGGGUUAAUACCUUGGGAUCAUGACGGUACCGGACGAAUCAGCCCCGGCUAACUUCGUGCCAGCAGCCGCGGUAAUACGAAGGGUGCAAGCGUUACUCGGAAUUACUGGGCGUAAAGCGUGCGUAGGUGGUUUGUUAAGUCUGAUGUGAAAGCCCUGGGCUCAACCUGGGAACUGCAUUGGAUACUGGCAAGCUAGAGUGCGGUAGAGGGUGGUGGAAUUCCCGGUGUAGCAGUGAAAUGCGUAGAGAUCGGGAGGAACAUCUGUGGCGAAGGCGACCGCCUGGACCAGCACUGACACUGAGGCACGAAAGCGUGGGGAGCAAA